rnacentral:rRNA from 1 species
AUGGGGAUCGGCUACGUCAUCGGCAUCCUCGGCGGCGCCCUCCUCGCCCACGCCGCCUACGCCACCAUCCAAUAUCGUGCGGUGCUGAAGAUCACGGAAGAGGAGUUCUCGGGGCCGCCAGUGGAUGUGAUGAUGCAGCUGCUCCUGGGGCUUGCCUUAUGCAUGUGGGCAGGUGUCUCUGUUCCAGCGAAGUUCCUUUCGGUGCUCCCCCAUUCUGAGGAGAAUAGGAUCGUAUCGCUCCCAGCAAACCUGGAUUUCAUGAUCUUCAACCACCGUGGAAGGGCGCUGCCUUCAGACGCAGACUUGAAGUUGAAGAUAUGA